rfam:Ictidomys tridecemlineatus contig073389, whole genome shotgun sequence.
GGGGUUGUGGCUCAGUAGUAGAGUGCUCGUCUAACAUAUGAAAGGCCCUGGGUUCAAUCCUCAGCACCACUU